CUCCUCCGCCGCCGCUCGGGAAGCUUCUCCUCGGCGGAGGCGCGUGAAGACGGAGGCGUCGAGGGAGAACAAAGAGGGAGAACGCGGGGCUCGGUUUAACGGGGGGCCGCCAUGACGCCCGGCUCGUCCAAACGCUGAAGACCCCGGUGAGGCGCUCGGCUCGCGACGCUGCGGAGGUUGUGUCGGUGGAGGUGAUGAAGAUGAUGAUGCUGAUGAUGAUGAAGAAGCUCCGGGUCUGAGCCGUGUGCGCGCCGCGGCUGUCACGUGACUCCGCGGAGGCUGGAGGGAGGAGGAGGAGGAGGAGGAGGCGCUCAUCACCGGCAGGGGGCGCAGCGAGCGACCACGCCUUCUUUCUGUGUGACCUCACCUGGGCCCCAGGCUGAUGGCCCUUGAAGAAUCAAAUCAUCCUGGCUGUAAACAAGUGCUGGGGCCACCUAAUGGAGUAAUGACUGUUAGGAUGUGAUUCAACUUCCAUCUGCUGGUUAGAAGGAGGAACCACAACCAACAACUUCCUGUGUACACGGCUUUUCUGUGAGAGGACUCUGCUGAAUGUCUCAAAGAGGCUGAGCGAUGAAAACGUGUACAUUGGAAAUAAGAAAGUAAAGUAAGAUAAAACAGAAUAUAUUAAAAUAAGGGGUGAUCUAGUGAAGCCAUGUCUAGGUUUGUAUAAACACACAUUAACAACAGUUUAAAGUUCAAAAGGCACUUCUUUAAUAAUCAAUGAUUAUGUACAUCUGUACAGACAAAGAAACGUGCCACAAAUGCCCUUGUUCAACUGCUUUACAUUUAAAAUGUUCAUACUUUCAACAGAAAAAACAUUGGACUCAAUA